rnacentral:rRNA from 1 species
CAGUAGCCGCGGUAACACGGAGGGUGCAAGCGUUAAUCGGAAUUACUGGGCGUAAAGCGCACGCAGGCGGUCUGUCAAGUCGGAUGUGAAAUCCCCGGGCUCAACCUGGGAACUGCAUUCGAAACUGGCAGGCUAGAGUCUUGUAGAGGGGGGUAGAAUUCCAGGUGUAGCGGUGAAAUGCGUAGAGAUCUGGAGGAAUACCGGUGGCGAAGGCGGCCCCCUGGACAAAGACUGACGCUCAGGUGCGAAAGCGUGGGGAGCAAACAGGAUUAGAUACCCCUGUAGUCCCUGUCUCUUAUAA